CAAAACACACUUCAUCACCUGUUUAACAAUCAAAACCUAUGAUGGAUUCCCUCUAACACAACAUCCAUCAUUCAGAUUCUAGAGAAUGAUAUGAAUCUAGUUGAUUUUGAACACCCCGUUGGUGAAACCACCGAUGAUCAUAAACUACUAACAUAAUUUUCUGAUUUUGAACAACCUCCAUCUUUGAACACCAUGUUUG
rnacentral:lncRNA from 1 species